rnacentral:lncRNA from 1 species
CAUAUGAUUCUUUCAGACUGGUUGCCUAAGAUCAUCUGCAUGCCAGAACAUGCAGACCAGCUGAGACAGACAGCCUUGUAA